GACGAACGCUGGCGGCGUGCUUAAUACAUGCAAGUCGAACGGAAAGGCCCUGCUCUUGCGGGGCGCUCGAUUGGCGAACGGGUGAGUAACACGCGUGUAACCUGUCCUUGUCUUUGGGAUAACUCUUCGAAACUGCGGCUAAUAUCCGAUAGGAGCUCCUGCUCCACGUUGGUGGUUGGAGAGAUUCGGUGGUUGGGGAUGGUCUCGCGGGUUAUCCGCUUCUUGGUGGGGUAGUGGCUUACCAAGGUUGCGACGGGUAGCCGGCCUGAGCGGGGUGACAGCGACAUUGCGACUGAGAUACGGCCCAGACUGCUACGGGAGGCAGCGGGGGAGAAUAUUGCGGAGUAGGCGGAAGCCUGUUGCGGCGACGCCGCGUGCGGAAUGACGGCCUUCGAGUUAAAAACCGCUUUGGACUGUAACAAGGCCUGAGUGACGGUAAUGGGUAAGAAAGCACCGGCUAACUACGUG
rnacentral:rRNA from 1 species